UUGGCCUACGGGAGGCAGCAGUGGGGAAUAUUGCACAAUGGGCGCAAGCCUGAUGCAGCAACGCCGCGUGCGGGAUGACGGCCUUCGGGUUGUAAACCGCUUUCAGCAGGGACGAAGCUUUUUGUGACGGUACCUGCAGAAGAAGCACCGGCUAACUACGUGCCAGCAGCCGCGGUGAUACGUAGGGUGCGAGCGUUGUCCGGAUUUAUUGGGCGUAAAGGGCUCGUAGGCGGUUGAUCGCGUCGGAAGUGGAAACUUGAUGCUUAACGUUGAGCGUGCUUUCGAUACGGGUUGACUUGAGGAAGGUAGGGGAGAAUGGAAUUCCUGGUGGAGCGGUGGAAUGCGCAGAUAUCAGGAGGAACACCAGUGGCGAAGGCGGUUCUCUGGACCUUUCCUGACGCUGAGGAGCGAAAGCGUGGGGAGCGAACAGGCUUAGAUACCCUGGUAGUCCACGCUGUAAACGGUGGGUACUAGGUGUGGGGUCCAUUCCACGGAUUCUGUGCCGUAGCUAACAAAGUAAGUACCCCGCCUGGGGAGUACGGCC
rnacentral:rRNA from 1 species